rfam:Schistosoma rodhaini strain Burundi genome assembly, scaffold: SROB_scaffold0007305
AUCCAGCUGACGAGACCCAAAUAGGAUGAAACGUGCUCCCUGGAU